UAGUUAAUGAACUUGUAUAAGUAUAUGUUUUGAAACCAUAAAAAAGAAAAAAAUUUUUCUAUUAACU
rnacentral:tRNA from 1 species